GGUAACCCCGUGUCAGGGGCCGCGGUAAUACGGGGGGUGCAAGCGUGUUGCGGAUUUAUUGGGUUUAAAGGGUCCUGAGGCGGAUUAAUCAGUCAGUGGGGAAAUCGCAUAGCUUAACUAUGAAACUGCCAUUGAUACUGUUAGUCUUGAGUGAUGUUGAAGUUGCUGGAAUGUGUAGUGUAGCGGUGAAAUGCUUAGAUAUUACGCAGAACACCAAUUGCGAAGGCAGGUGACUAAACAUUAACUGACGCUGAUGGACGAAAGCGUGGGGAGCGAACAGGAUUAGAUACCCGGGUAGUC
rnacentral:rRNA from 1 species